UACGUGAGGGUGCGAGCGUUGUCCGGAAUUAUUGGGCGUAAAGGGCUCGUAGGCGGUCUGUCGCGUCGGGAGUGAAAACUCAGGGCUUAACCCUGAGCUGCUUCCGAUACGGGCAGACUAGAGGUAUGCAGGGGAGAACGGAAUUCCUGGUGUAGCGGUGGAAUGCGCAGAUAUCAGGAGGAACACCGGUGGCGAAGGCGGUUCUCUGGGCAUUACCUGACGCUGAGGAGCGAAAGUGUGGGGAGCGAACAGG
rnacentral:rRNA from 1 species